GCGAAGUCGGGCUUUGGUGUUUGUGCUUUGUAAUGGACAUGGAAAAAGGACAGAAGAACACCCAGCUAUCGAACCGACGUAUGAAGCAAAAACAGAGGCAUAAUGAAGAUGCGUAAACAAGGACCGUGUACGUCUAGAAGCCAAAAUAUCUCAUAGACAGAGACCAAGGGGGAUACAAAGAUUUAAGACAGUAUAUUGAAAACCAUCACACCUAAAGGCAUUACGAAGAAAGUCUUUGCAUAACAGAUCUGCCAUGGACAAUAUUCUAUGAUUGGUUAUGAUAGAAACAGGAACAACUGGAAACUAUCGUUC